GGGGGUAUAGCUCAGUGGUCAAGCACGUGCUUAACAUGCACGAGGUCCUGGGCUCAAUCCCCACUACCUCCA
rnacentral:tRNA from 1 species